rnacentral:misc_RNA from 1 species
GUUUUGCCGAGUGUCAUCUUAUGGAGAGCAUAGGUUCUUUACACAUUUGUGUUUUAAGCCCCAACUCCCUGUCUCUGUCAUUCUUCUCCUUUAAUUCUAAUUAUGAAAUCCCUCUUUUGCUUUGUCUCCCUCUCCUGCUUUGGUUUCAAUGGUUUUUCAUCUUCCCCUUAAUAAUCCUUCAAGUUCCACCCCUUUAGCUACUAGCAUCAUUGAGGACCAUAUCUCAGAGAUGCUUACAAUAGAAUGUGGCAUUUCUCAAGUGU